AUUGAACGCUGGCGGCAGGCCUAACACAUGCAAGUCGAGCGGUUGAGGUAGCUUGCUACCGAUGCAGCGGCGGACGGGUGAGUAAUACAUGGGAAUCUGCCUGGUAGUGGGGGACAACGUUUCGAAAGGAACGCUAAUACCGCAUACGCCCUACGGGGGAAAGGGGGGGAUCUUCGGACCUCUCGCUAUCAGAUGAGCCCAUGUCGGAUUAGCUUGUUGGUGAGGUAAAGGCUCACCAAGGCGACGAUCCGUAACUGGUCUGAGAGGAUGAUCAGUCACACUGGAACGGAGACACGGUCCAGACUCCUACGGGAGGCAGCAGUGGGGAAUAUUGGACAAUGGGCGCAAGCCUGAUCCAGCCAUGCCGCGUGUGUGAAGAGGGCCUUAGGGUUGUAAGGCACUUUCAGUGGGGAGAAAGGUCAUUCACCUAAUACGUGAGUGAAUUGAUGUUACCCACAGAAGAAGCACCGGCUAACUCCGUGCCAGCAGCCGCCGUAA
rnacentral:rRNA from 1 species